GACAGAGGGUGCGAACGUUGUUCGGAAUUACUGGGCGUAAAGCGCGUGUAGGCGGUGAGGCAAGUCGGAUGUGAAAGCCCAGGGCUCAACCCUGGAAGUGCACUCGAUACUGCCUUGCUGGAGUCCCGGAGAGGAUGGUGGAACUCUCGGUGUAGAGGUGAAAUUCGUAGAUAUCGAGAAGAACACCGGUGGCGAAGGCGGCCAUCUGGACGGUGACUGACGCUGAGACGCGAAAGCGUGGGGAGCAAACAGG
rnacentral:rRNA from 2 species